CCCUUUUAAUGAUGACAAAAUAAUAUAUGUAUAAACACCAAUUGACUUCCCUGCAGUUUGCUCCCCCUCAAUAGGAGCAAUAAGCAAUUUGAGGUGCAUGUAGUCGACUGCAUCAGUUGACUUUGCUGGUAGUUUUACUCCCCCUCGAUAGGAGCAGUGGGUGCUUGAGAGGCAUGUAGUCGACUUGUUAUGUACCUGCACACAAUACAUAGAUAUACCUGCACAUAAUACAUAUAUCCUACACACAUGCUUGGGAGGCAUGUAGUCGACUUGUUAUGUACUUGCAGACACUACAUACAUUCUUU
rnacentral:lncRNA from 1 species